rnacentral:ncRNA from 1 species
CAUGCAAGUAUCUGCGUUCCGGUGAGUUGCCCUCUAAAUCACUUUUGGUAUCAAGGGAAAGCAUCAAGCACACAACAAUGCAGCUCAUAACGCUUAGCCUAGCCACACCCCCACGGGAAACAGCAGUGAUUAACCUUUAGCAAUAAACGAAAGUUUAACUAAGCUAUACUAACCCCAGGGUUGGUCAAUUUCGUGCCAGCCACCGCGGUCACACGAUUAACCCAAAUCAAUAGAACCCGGCGUAAAGUGUGGUUAAGAUCACCCCCUCCCAAUAAAGCUAAAACUCACCUGAGUUGUAAAAAACUCAAGUUGACACAAAAUACACUACGAAAGUGGCUUUAACAUAUCAGAACACACAAUAGCUAAAACCCAAACGGGGAUUAAAUACCCCACUAUGCUUAGCCCUAAACCUCAACAGUUAAAUCAACAAAACUGCUCGCCAGAACACUACGAGCCACAGCUUAAAACUCAAAGGACCUGGCGGUGCUUCAUAUCCCUCUAGAGGAGCCUGUUCUGUAAUCGAUAAACCCCGAUCAACCUCACCACCUCUUGCUAAUCCAGUCUAUAUACCGCCAUCUUCAGCAAACCCUUUAAAGGAUCAUAGUAAGCUUAAUUAUACUUAAUAAAAACGUUAGGUCAAGGUGUAACUUAUAUGAUGGAAACUAAUGGGCUACAUUCCCUUUUAAAGAGCAUUAACGAACACCCUUAUGAAAUAAUGGUUGAAGGAGGAUCUAGUAGUAAGCCAAGAAUAGAGAGCUUGGCUGAAUCAGGCCAUGAAGCACGCACACACCGCCCGUCACCCUCCUCAAAUGUUAUCUGAACAUAAAUAUAUUAGAGGAGACAAGUCGUAACAAGGUAAGCAUACUGGAAAGUGUGCUUGGAUUAUCAAAGUGUAGCUUAAAACAAAGCAUCUGGCCUACACCCAGAAGAUCUCACCUUUGAACCUAGCCAAAACUUAUAGAAUUAAUCCCAAAUAAACUAAAACAUUUAUACUAUAAAGUAUAGGAGAUAGAAAUAUGACUUAGGAUAGAAGUACCGCAAGGGAACGAUGAAAGAUAGUAGUAAAUAGCAAAGCUUAAACCUUGUACCUUUUGCAUCAUGGAUUAACUAGAAACCAUUUGACAAAGAGCUAGCAAAACCCCGAAACCAGACGAGCUACUAGAACAAUAAUAGAAUAAACUCGUCUAUGUAGCAAAAUAGUGAGAAGAUUUGUGAGUAGAGGUGAAAAGCCAACGAGCCUGGAGAUAGCUGGUUGUCCAAAAAAAGAAUUAGUUCCCUAAACCCUUAAAGGACUACCUAACCUUAUUUCGUAAAUUUAGAGCUAAUCAAUAAAGGGACAUCUCUAUUGAUUAAGGUUACAACCUUAAUUAGAGAGUAAGUAAGCACAUAAACAUAGUAGGCCUAAAAGCAGCCACCAAUUAAGAAAGCGUUAAAGCUCAACACUAACUAAAAAUCCCAAUUCAACAUAUAACUGAACUCCUCACACCCAAUUGGACCAAUCUAUCACCCUAUAGAAGAACUAAUGUUAGUAUAAGUAACAUGAAAACAUUCUCCUCCGCAUAAGCCUGCGUCAGAUUAAAACACUGAACUGACAAUUAACAGCCCAAUAUCUACAAUCAACCAACAAGUCAUUAUUACCCUCACUGUCAACCCAACACAGGCAUGCUCAUAAGGAAAGGUUAAAAAAAGUAAAAGGAACUCGGCAAAUCUUACCCCGCCUGUUUACCAAAAACAUCACCUCUAGCAUUACUAGUAUUAGAGGCCUGCCUGCCCAGUGACAUUAGUUUUAACGGCCGCGGUACUCUGACCGUGCAAAGGUAGCAUAAUCAUUUGUUCCUUAAAUAAGGACCUGUAUGAAUGGCUUCACGAGGAUUCAACUGUCUCUUACUUUCAACCAGUGAAAUUGACCUCCCCGUGAAGAGGCGGGGAUAACACUAUAAGACGAGAAGACCCUAUGGAGCUUUAAU